CCUACGGGCGGCAGCAGUGGGGAAUAUUGCACAAUGGGCGCAAGCCUGAUGCAGCCAUGCCGCGUGUGUGAAGAAGGCCUUCGGGUUGUAAAGCACUUUCAGCGGGGAGGAAGGCGUUAAGGUUAAUAACCUUGUCGAUUGACGUUACCCGCAGAAGAAGCACCGGCUAACUCCGUGCCAGCAGCCGCGGUAAUACGGAGGGUGCAAGCGUUAAUCGGAAUUACUGGGCGUAAAGCGCACGCAGGCGGUCUGUCAAGUCGGAUGUGAAAUCCCCGGGCGCAACCUGGGAACUGCACUCGAAACUGGCAGGCUAGAGUCUUGUAGAGGGGGGUAGAAUUCCAGGUGUAGCGGUGAAAUGCGUAGAGAUCUGGAGGAAUACCGGUGGCGAAGGCGGCCCCCUGGACAAAGACUGACGCUCAGGUGCGAAAGCGUGGGGAGCAAACAGGAUUAGAUACCCUAGUAGUC
rnacentral:rRNA from 1 species